GACGUAGGGUGCGAGCGUUGUCCGGAUUUAUUGGGCGUAAAGAGCUCGUAGGCGGCUCGUCGCGUCGACCGUGAAAACCCGCAGCUUAACUGCGGGCUUGCGGUUGAUACGGGCGGGCUAGAGUUCGGUAGGGGAGACUGGAAUUCCUGGUGUAGCGGUGAAAUGCGCAGAUAUCAGGAGGAACACCGAUGGCGAAGGCAGGUCUCUGGGCCACUACUGACGCUGAGGAGCGAAAGCCAGGGGAGCAAACGGG
rnacentral:rRNA from 1 species